GCAUUAGACACCAGGCAGCUGUGACAGCUGUGCUCUCAUAUCCUGCAAAAUAUAUGCUCUUGCAGUUAUCCACUAUAAAGUUCUCUGCCUCAGCGAUGCCCACCCUGCUGCAGCUUGCGCUGUGAAGAAUUGCACUUAUGCAGGUCUCUUUGAGCAAACAUCUCAGGAUUGCCAGCUACGGGAGCGGGUACGUGAGCUGCAUCUGAAACAUGUUGGGCCUGAAGAGUAUUUAAUUUUCAUAUUGGAAGAACUCGGGGGCGAUGAUCUUCCUCUGGUGCAGCCAGGCCUCGCCGUUGGACUUGAGGAUGCCCCCGCCGAAGAGCGGCUCGUGCGUGGCCUUGAGGUAGGAGCUCUUGCCGAGGUCCAGCGACACGCAGAGGUUGA